GACGAACCGUGCAAACGUUGUUCGGAAUCACUGGGCUUAAAGGGCGCGUAGGCGGACCGGAUAGUCUGUGGUGAAAGCCCCCAGCUUAACUGGGGAAGUGCCAUGGAUACUGCCGGUCUGGAGGAGGGUAGGGGCAUCUGGAACGCUGGGUGGAGCGGUGAAAUGCGUUGAUAUCCAGCGGAACUCCGGUGGCGAAGGCGGCGCGCUGGACCUCUUCUGACGCUGAGGCGCGAAAGCCAGGGGAGCAAACGGG
rnacentral:rRNA from 1 species